rnacentral:lncRNA from 1 species
AACCACAAUGCAAGACCAGUUGGUUCACAAGCAGUGCCUGAAGCACAUGCUACCACUUAUAGAGGUGGUCGAGGGAGAGGCCGAGGAAAAGCGAAUUGGUCACAACGUGGUGGAAGAGGUUGGUCCUAUAGAGGAGGUCGAGGUCGAGGUCGAGGUCGUGGAUACAAUCAUAUUGCUAGAUUCCAAAGUCAUGGAAAAAGAUCUCAUAAGACAUCGAAUCCACAAGAAGCAAGUACAUCUCAUCAAACUCCAGAAACACAACAAACUUGUUACAGGUGUGGGUGCGAUGGUCAUUGGAGUCGUACAUGUCGCACCGCCAAGCACCUCGUUGAAGCAUAUCAAAUGUUGCAAAAGAACAAGAAAGGCAAGAAAAUUCGAAGUGAAAUACAUCAUGCCAGUUUGCCUGAAGCAAAUUUGGAGUUUAAUGCCGAUGAUGAUGAUUUAAUGCAACUUGAUCUUGAAGAUUAUGGAGAUCAAAAGUAAUUUGAUUUGUUGGAUUAUUCAGACAUUUUAGGAUUUUAUUUAUGGUUCGCGUUUUAUUUGCAAACUGUUAGUAAUUUAGUUUGUUUUUGUGUGUUUGCAAUACUUAAAAUUCUAUUAUUAUUGUGACCUAUUUGCUAUCUUUAUUUGCUAUUUUCUUGAUUUAUAUUUUUUUUUUUACUUCUUUGCUUUUAGAAUGUCAAACUCAAACUUGCAACUCAUGGAGAAUGAAAGUACAUUGUGUCUAGUGGAUAGUGCCACAACACAUACUAUACUUACUGAUAGAAAAUAUUUUCAAACUCUUACUGAAAAAAGGGGGAGCGUCACUACAAUUGCAAAUGACAAUAUCCUUAUUGUCGGCUCUGGAAGAGCUUCUCUUAUACUCCCUAUGGGUACAGAAUUAAUUAUCAAUGAUGCACUUUUGUAUCCACAAUCAAAACGUACCCUUCUUAGUUUUAAAGACAUCCGACUAAACGGUUUUCACAUUGAAACUGAAACCGAUAACAAUAGUGAAUUUCUUCUCAUCACUCAGAAUGUUGGAUGUAGGAAACAAAUUCUUGAGAAGUUCCCUUCUUUCUCCUCUGGGUUGUAUUAUACUCAUAUUAAAUCUAACAAUCAUGUUGCGUUAAGCAUAAAAUUUAAAGACCCAAAAUCUUUUAUAUUAUGGCAUGAACGAUUGGGUCAUCCUGGGCAUAAUAUGAUACGUCGGAUUAUUACUAAUGCUAUUGGGCACAAUAUACAAACAAAAGAUCUAUCACCUUCAAAUGAAUUUGUUUGUGAAGCAUGUGCAAAAGGUAAGCUUAUAGUACGACCUUCUCGUACCAAAGUGAAAUUAGAAUCUCCUUCUUUUCUUGAACGAAUUCAAGGAGAUAUAUGUGGACCAAUUCACCCAGCGUCCGGACCAUUCCAAUAUUUUAUGGUCCUGAUUGAUGCUUCUACUCGAUGGACUUAUGUAUGCUUAUUAUCUACUCGCAAUAAAGCAUUUGCAAAGCUUAUUGCCAAAAUAAUUGAAUUAAGAGCUCAAUUUCCUGAUUACCCAAUAAAGUCCAUUCGAAUGGACAACGCUGGUGAANUUUCUAACUCAUUAUUCCUAUUUCUUUAAUAUGACAGUCAAUCUCUCUGACAUAUCAGUACUCUCAAUAGUGUUAAGACACUAUCUCACAACAUAGGGAAAAUACGGGGGUGUUACAUGUACUAUCAAAAUUUAGAUGAAAUUCAUGACUUCAUGCAUAAUUUAAAAUUCAUGUGGCUCAUAUAAAUACACUUAACUCACCAAUUAAAACUUAUGCACCACAUUUAUAAAAAUUUCCUUUAACUAAGCACAUUAAAACACAUAUAUAACGAUUAAAUCACUUCGGAUAAAUCAAACCAGUUUUUAUUAUUAAUGGAUGUCGAACCCUAAUUAUUAAUAAUUAAGCCCUUAAUCAGGGAUUAAAAGUCGGGGUAUGACAUACUAUCCUCCUUAAAAGAAAUUUCAUUCCGAAAUUUGUACAACACGAAAUAAUUCUGGGUACUUUUCCUUCAUGCUAGACCCGAGUUCCCAUGUCGCCUCCUCUUGAUCAUGAUGCUUCCAAAGUACCUUUAUUAAGGGUAUCGACUUAUUUCUUAGUACUUUAUCUUUUCGAUCUAGAAUAGAUUCGGGUCUCUCCUCAUAUCAAUUGGAUUCCCAAUUCCAAUUUAUAUACACGAGAUUUACUUGAGAAUAAGUUCCCUCGUUCUUUUGCGGCGGUUCAUUACUCCUACCUCAUUCCUAGGGCUCAUCUACGGGGUAUCCUAUUUUCCAAAGACCAAAAUGGUCAUCAACCCAUUUCUUGUUACCUAUCACAUGCAUAACAAUUCCCUAUGAAUCUAUCUUAAAACUAUCAUAGACCAAUUAACUUAAGUCCUCGUACUCGAACAUUAUAUUACGGUCUUAGCUUGAACUCUGAAUUUCUAUCAUGAUGAGUGGUCGAUAUCAUUUAUAGGACAAAGACUAAUCUCAACUAAUUACAAUGAGAUACAAUUAUACGAAGCCCUAAUUUGGGUAGUCUACUACGUCAGUAGACUAACACUUCUUAGUCUUAUCGAUCAACGGGAUCUAUUAUGACAACUCACGAGUUGCAAGACUCAAACUCAACACAACAUCUAAGUAAGGUGUUGUAGAAAUUGUCCAAGAGAAUCAAAAGAAUGACCAGAGGGUAUGAAAUGAUUAACUACAAGGUCGAACAAAAUGACCUCGAGUAAGAGCCCAUCUGGCUUUUCAGCCGAAAGUUGAAACACAUGGGUUUUCAACCCAAAAGACGUCUACUGAGAUUUGGAUCAUGUGGACUGGCCAGGUCCAACAUCAUCACCUCCCCGUCACACGGGAAACAUCGUCCCGAACUUGGAGAGCCAUGAACAUACUAUACAUAACAAAACAUAAGCUCAUCAUGACAACUAAACUUAUCUUAAGGUUACCUAUCCUAUUGAUCUCAAACCCCAAACCUCUCUUAAGACAUAUACACACAGACAUACGUACACAGGCAAAACACACUAUUCUUAAAAUCUAUCAUGUAGCAAAAGUCGAUUCGAUGUUCCGUCGCACGUGAACAUUCGAACGUAGAGACUAUGCUUCAACCUUUGAUGCAACGUUUACCUUGAAUUCGUCUCGUAUUUUCAUUCUGUGCUUUUUCUUUAUCUCGUACAUAUCUUUCCAUUCCUCUUUGUAGUUCAAAAGAACCAUUGUUUUCUUGUGGGAGCUAAAUGCUCUAAGUUCUCUUUCAUUCUUCUAAAUCAUCACCUUAAGAAUCUAGAUUGUAGAGAUUCCUACUAAUCUAGUAGUCUAUGUUCUUUUGAAAUUGUGAUCAUGCAACUUAUAGCAAUCUAUGUUCUCUGGGAAAACAUAUGUCAAUUUUUCUAUCAUUCGUCUGAUCAUAACAUCAUAGACUUGCGAAAAUAUGCCAUGAAAGGCAAAACAUUCAACAUUUCAUCAUAGCAUGCUCUUUACAUAAACAUAUUCAUGAAGCAUUUUAGAAUAUUAACAUCUUUAAAACAUUGAAACUGCAGUUACCUUUUUCCUUGACCGAGCACGAUGCAAUGGAGUGUUGAGCGGUGCCAUAUAAACCCAUGUAAGUCUAAAGAAUCAAACUAGACUCGACUCUUUAGAAUAAGGUUUCUAGGGCCAGAGCGAACGAACCGCUCUGAUACCACUCUGUCACAGCCCACUAUCCCAAUGACGGGUUAACCGGGGUUAUGACUUGGGGUGAACAAUAAGAAAUGGAAAUGGACAAUUACUUAACAUUAAAGUAUAUGGAAAUGUCACUCAUAGAUAAAAUGCUAGGAUCAUAUAUGAUUAUUUGGAUACUUAUAAAACAUACACAUAAAUGAGAACUGAUUAAGGUGGGUUACCCAAUAACAUGUAUCACAACUUCAUAACAUAGAGCUAUCCUAAUCAAAGUGUUUUGCAGCGGAAAACGUGUGAGAUAUACAUAUGAAGAUGUAUACUCAAGGUUACAUUUCUUGAAAUGUCAAAGGAACACCCGCUCAACAUCAUUCCAUUCCAUCAGCUGCUCAACCUGCACAUUUAGAAAUACAUGCAGGGCUGAGUAUAAAAAUACUCAGUGGGCACGUAUGCCUAAGUAUAAAAAUACAUGCUCAAAACUGUAAAUUGUCAUGCCAUCAUAAACAGUACAGCAAGGGAGUUUUUCGCUAAAAGGCCCAAGCUUACUAAGUUCAUUUGUGAUUCUUAAAGUUCGUCUGCAGACUAAGUUCUCUUGUAAUCUAUCAUAUCUGGAACUUUGUGCCGGAGAGGUGGCCACCUCUCACGGUCACUUGACCGGCCAACCCGCUAGAUGACUCACGGUCACUGGUGUACACUAGCCCUGGCAGGAUAGCUAUCAACUGCUCAGGACCCGAAUUCGAUUGCAUCAUUGGCAAAGCCAAAGCAGAUAGAUAUCAUACUAAAAUUUAAACAUUUUAUGGCAAGACAAUACUUGAAAUAACUUUAACUCAGAGAUUUUGUCAUGAAAUAACUUGCUUGAACGUAACAUUUAAACUCAUUUGAUAUAUAUGAAAGUAAUGCCCACCUGAUUAGGCAAUGCCUGUCGUUUAUUCUUAACUCUAAAUCGGUAUAGCAGUGUUACUCCUCACGAUCCACAAAGCCUACAAGAAAUCUAUAAUCUUAAUAGGUCUCCUGAAUCUAAUAUUAAGUUAUAGUGUAGUGCUUAUCAUCCUAUGAUUCACUUAGCCGGGUUUUGAAAAUUUAAUAAAUAAAUAAUUGAAAACUAAAUUCUUGAGUUAAGGACACCAACAAUAUCCAUACUCGAUUUUCUUAAAUAAUUGGAUUUAUAAAUAAAACCAAUUAAAUCAUAAAUACUUUUAUUGCAUGAUGCAAAUGCAUACUUAACAUAUGGUAAGUAAUUACUUAAAAUAUGCACAUAAUAAUAAUAUAAUAUUAUUAUGCAAAUCAUCUCAUGCUUAAUCGUAUAUGCACAUAAUAAUAAUAUUAUUAUUAUGCAAAUUAUUCUUUAAAUAAAACUAUUUAAUAGUUCAAUUAAUUAAUAUAAGUAUAGUCCAUUUAAUAAAAUAAUGCAGUCCAUUUACUAAAAAAAAUCUGCACAAUCCAAGUAACAAGGCCCAGCUGUUUUAAUUAAAUAAACUGAGCCCAAGUUACUAAAUAAAAAUCAGCCCAACCAGUUAAAAAUAGAAAUUCAGCCCAACAUAAAGAAAUAACCCGGCCCAACCCUCGGCCCAACACCCCAAGCCCAAACCUAGCCCAUCAUUUAACACUCUCACACACACAAACACACGCAUAUACUCACACACACAAAGCUGCGCGCAGCAGCACGCUCCCCCUCCCCCUUCUUCCUUUCUCCGUUCACGCCGCCCACCGUGGAGCUCGCCGGAGGAGCAGCAGCGACAAGCCGCGCCACCCUCGGCUUUCUACACACACACCAGGACACAUAGACGGAGGUAGCACGCAGCCGCCGUCCGCCGACUCUCUCUCUCAAAACUCCGGUGGUAAAUAAAGCCCUCAGGCUGUCGCCGAUCGUGCCCUUCAUCUCCAGCCGAAACCCGCCGACGCGGUCUCUCUCUCUCUCUCUCUGUGACAGUGGCCAAUCACCACCACCACCAGACGGACAUCAGCGAUGAGCCGCCGCCGACCGCAUCUGCCUCCUUCCACCCUCAACUCAACUCAUCAGCAGACACACAAACACAACAAGCAAAACCAAAACUCAAAACUCCUUUCCUCUUUCUUUUAAAACAGUCAUGCUUCAUAUACGUAUACAUGCACAGAUUGUACUUAUCAUGCCAGUAACUUGACAUCAAUAUAACGUGUAUGCAUUUUGUUUUGAUCUGGUGUGAUGGAUGUAUGAACAAUUAUGUGAGUUAUGCGCCUCUACAUGUAUGUCUGCAAUGGUGUGUGUUGGGUCUCCAAUUGGAGUUUUGAUUUGAAAGCAAUGAUUGAGGGAAAAUAGUUGUAACUAGAAUACCAUAAUUUGAAUGUUUUAAAGAAGUAAAACCUUUAGAACGAAGUUGCUGGUUCGUUAAUCUGGUGCACCACAAACUUGGCCUGCUCGAAAUAUUUAGUGGAGGAAAACUAAAGUUGAGCUUCGUGGUUGCUUGAUCUUCACACGAAUGAGUAAAUGAUUAUAGAUAGAAGAAAAAUCUGAUUUGUUGGAGUGAGAUUUGUAAUUGUAUGGCUUGUGCACUGUAGUUGAUGGUAAGGGUUGAAAAAAAAUCAUGAUAAUGAUGGCAGCAGCUUAUUUUGACAAGGAGUAGGUGGCGUAUAUAAGGUGAGGGAGGAAGCAUGCUGAUCAUGGGAAGACAUGAUGAUAGAUGACAAGUGGUAGCAUGUGCUCAUAGAAUAAUUUAAACUAAGGCUCGAAAUGUGAAUAAUUAAAUCAAGCACACAUAAAUAACUGAAGACUUCAAUUAAAAUCUCUAUAAUAUUGAAAAUUUUGGAUAUGUAAAAAUCCUUUAAAGUUUGCUAAUUGAAAUACUAGUGCAACUGUUUAAAUACUCAAUUUACAUAAAUAUGAGAUGCACAAGAAUUUAAAUAACAUAAACUUUCAAAAUUUAUUUUUGUUGGAAUUAAAGUAAAUUCAUUUUCUUUUAUUUGGCGUGAAUCAUCUUAAAUUCUAAGUUUGAAAUCUACUCUAAAUUUAGCUAGGGAAAAGCGGGGCGUUACACAUGUAAAGUUUCGUUUUGAUCUCUAACUGAGAUCCCUCUGAUUGAGGUCGGUAGAUUAAUUUGAAAAUAGCCUAUAUGUGUAUUCCCCCCCCCCCAUACACCUAUUCGAGACCCUCAGGACCUAACAACCCUUUUGAGAGUUUGAAUGUGCGUCUAUUGGUUUUGAUAGAACUCUUAACACUUAAAAAGUUAAAUAUUAUAAACUUGAGUUUAUUUGCUUGGUAUUUAAAUAUAUUCAAAUUCGAAUUGGAAUUAUGAUAACUGGUAAAUUUUUCUGUAAAUACUCGAUUAAAUUAAGUUUUAAAUUCAUGUACAUCCAAUCAUCUUCUAUUUAUGGCGAAUAUUUAAUGUUCAGUGUUUAGUUAAUCUUCUGUUUUUUUNUUAAUAAAAACAAAGAUAUUUUUAAUAUGUUGGGAUAGAUGUAUUAAUUUCUUAAGGAUCUUCUCCCUAAGGGAUAGAAAUUAUUACGUCUUAAGGAUCGUCUCCCAAUUAUAAUAUUUAUUGUUUGUUAUUUAUUAAAUGAAUUGGUUGAAAAAUAAUUGUGUAUAAUUGUCUAUUUUUCUAUUGGUAAUUGAAAUUAUUUCUUUUCAUUAUUUGUUAUAGUUUGAAUAUGUCUGAUAUCAACAAAAGAGAAUUCACCGAGCUUGCUCUUGAUGGUGGUAACUAUUUGACUUGGGCUUUGGAUGUUGAAAUAUACCUCGCCUCAUGUGAUUUGAGUGACGCUAUAGUUCCAGAUUCUUCAUGUAGCUCCGCCCAGAAGGCGAAAGCUUUGAUUUUCUUGCGUCAUCAUCUGAAUAAGGACUUAAAAAAUGAGUACCUUACUGAAAAGGACCCUGUUGUCCUAUGGCAAUCCCUGAAGGAUCGCUUUGAUCAACAAAAGGCCAUUAUUCUCCCUCAGGCACAAUAUGAUUGGCUGAAUUUACGCUUUCAGGAUUUCAAGUCCGUGAUUGAGUACAAUUCUACCUUACACCGUAUUGUGUCACAGCUGAAACUCUGUAAGCAAGAAGUUACAGAGAUUGAUUUGAUAGAGAAGACUCUAUCUACUUUUCAUGCCAGUAACCUUGUACUCCAGCAGCAGUACAGAGCCAAGAAUUAUACUAGGCAUUCUGAACUCAUUUCUGCUUUACUUGUAGCAGAGAAACAUAAUCAGCUUUUGAUGAGAAACCACAAUGCAAGACCAGUUGGUUCACAAGCAGUGCCUGAAGCACAUGCUACCACUUAUAGAGGUGGUCGAGGGAGAGGCCGAGGAAAAGCGAAUUGGUCACAACGUGGUGGAAGAGGUUGGUCCUAUAGAGGAGGUCGAGGUCGAGGUCGAGGUCGUGGAUACAAUCAUGUUGCUAGAUUCCAAAGUCAUGGAAAAGGAUUUCAUAAGACAUCGCAUCCACAAGAAGCAAGUACAUCUCAGCAAACUCCAGAAACACA